rnacentral:rRNA from 1 species
UWACUUUCAACAACGGACUYUUGGCUCUCGCAUCGAUAAAGAACGCAGCGAAGUGCGAUAAGUAAUGUGAAUUGCAGAAUUCAGUGAAUCAUCGAAUCUUUGAACGCACCUKGCGCCCCUUGGUACUCCGAGGGGCAUGCCUGUUUGAGUGUCAU